rnacentral:rRNA from 1 species
CAUUAAAUUAAAUUUUUUUUUUACUUAAGUAGUAUUAUAAUUUUUUUAAUAAAUAAUUAUUAUUGAAACUUAAAAAGCUUGGCGUGCUAUAUAUCCAUUUAGGGGAGCUUAUUUAUUAAUUUGAUAAUCCUCAAUUAACACUUACUUUUUCUUGARAUAAUCAGUUUGUGUAUUGCUGUCGUCAGUUUAUUUUGUAAAAUUAUAAAAAACUUGAUAGUAAUAUUUACUUAUAAGUCAAGUCAAAAUACAGCUAAUGUAAAAGGUUUGAAAAUGAGCUACAAUUUAUAAUAUUUAAUUGGAUUAAAAAUGUAAAAAUUUAUGAAUUGGGACUUAAUAGUAAUGUAAUAUUAGUAUGGUUACAUGAAUUAGGUUUUAUAGUGCGU